CGUGCCUGCCCCGCUCUAGCAGCACGUAAAUAUUGGCGUCGUGAGAUACUGGUGAACCCCAAUAUUAUUGUGCUGCUUCAGCGUGGCAGG
rnacentral:pre_miRNA from 1 species